rnacentral:rRNA from 1 species
UACGGAGGGUGCAAACGUUGCUCGGAAUUAUUGGGCGUAAAGCGCACGUAGGCGGCCGAUUAAGUCGGGUGUGAAAGCCCAGGGCUCAACCCUGGAAGUGCACUCGAAACUGGACGGCUUGAAUAUGGAAGAGGGUCGCGGAAUUCCCGGUGUAGAGGGGAAAUUCGUAGAUAUCGGGAGGAACACCAGUGGCGAAGGCGGCGAUCUGGGAAGAUACUGACGCUGAGGUGCGAAAGCGUGGGGAGCAAACAGG